rnacentral:ncRNA from 1 species
AUUAGAGUGAUGAACAGGAAAAAGCGUAAGGAUUUCCGCUCAGAGAGCCGGUGGUUGCUGCGAACCGGUGCGGGCCCUGUAGCGAACUCACCUGGGAACUGUUUGUGUGAAUGUUUGUAUGCCUUAAAGUGUAUACAGUCCACAUAAUACAAACCGUCGCCGGUCGUUACCCGGAAGCCGCUUGGCGCAAUGAGGCCCAAGUAGGGUGGUACCGCGGAUAAUCCCGCCCCUAUU